GUGGGGGGGUGGGGGGAGUUUUUUCUUAAUUCACUGGAAACAUACUUCCAGAAAACAAUAAGGUAGCUACUUUGUUUCUUGUUUCUUUCACUCCUUCGCCUCUUUCCCUCUUUCUUUGUUCCUUUUCUAUUCGUAACAACUGGGGAAAUUAGUCUAAGCAAUUUAAAGAGAUUAAGAAGAUGAUUAUAGCCGGAGAAAGGAUACCCUUGUCCUUACAUAUAUGUUAAAGAAGUUCGAGAAGUUGAUUUGUAAAAUUUGGAGUUGGGAUUGAAUCUCAAAAGUUAGUGAAUCGCGUAGCGGCUAGCCGGAACUAGUGGUUGGAAAGGUAAAGGCUACACUUUCUCGGGUUGAAACUUGAGGCUCGAGAUAUUAUCGUAGUUAAUAAAGCACUAAGUCAGGACAAAGAACACGGGAGGUUGCUACAAGGGCUAAGGGUAAAGCUUCAUCAACAAUUGCUAUAUGGAAAGAAAUAUGCUAUAGUGUAUCAUAUUAGUGGAAGCAGUUAAAGAUUGUGUUAGAGUAGAAUGUAUAUAUCACAUCUCUUGAGGCGCAAUGAGGUUUAAUAUAUGACAAGUAUUGAUAUUAAUUUUUAUUUCUACAAGAUUUUUUAUUGCACAUAAAUACUAACUGAGUGAAAUUUAUAGAUCCUAGGUAAAGUCUCUUGUUAUCA